AGCAUUAUGAAAACCUAUAAAGUGAAACCUGCCCGGUGAGAGUUUUUAAACGGCCGCAGUACCUUGACUGUGCUAAGGUAGCAUAAUAAUUUGACUUUUAAUUGGAGCCUUGUAUGAAAGGGAUAAUGGGUAGAUUCUGUCUCUUUUAAAAUUCUUUAAAGCUACUUAAAAGGUGAAAAUGCCUUUAUUUAUUUAAUAGACGAGAAGACCCUAGGAGUUUAUUAAAAAAAAAUAAUUAUAUUUUGUUGGGGCGACACUACAGCAGUAUAUUUUUAACCUGUAAUUAUUUAUUUUACUUACCGAGAAAUUUUAACUAAGAUUAAACUACCCUAGGGAUAACAGCAUAAUUUACUUAUUAAGUUUGUGACCUCGAUGUUGGAUUAGGAGGGAUUAAUAUUAGCAAUAUUAAAAUAUGUUCUGUUCGAACAAUAUAUCCUACAU
rnacentral:rRNA from 1 species